CAGCCGCGGUAAUUCCAGCUCCAAUAGCGUAUAUUAAAGUUGUUGCAGUUAAAAAGCUCGUAGUUGAACUUCGGGGUUUACCCAUUGGUCAGGCUUAAUUGUCUGUACUGGUGAGAUAAAUCUCUACCUUCUGAGGAACUUUCAUGUCAUUAAUUUGGUGUGAUUGGAAAUCAGGACUGUUACUUUGAAAAAAUUAGAGUGUUUAAAGCAGGCUAACGUCUGAAUACAUUAGCAUGGAAUAAUGAAAUAGGACGGCUUGAUUCUAUUUCGUUGGUUUCUAGGAUCACCGUAAUGAUUAAUAGGGAUAGUUGGGGGCAUUAGUAUUCAAUUGUCAGAGGUGAAAUUCUUGGAUUUAUUGAAGACUAACUACUGCGAAAGCACUUGCCAAGGAUGUUUUCAUUAAUCAAGAACGAAAGUUAGGGGAUCGAAGACGAUCAGAUACCGUCGUAGUCUUAACCAUAAACUAUGCCGACUAGGAUCGGAUGAUGUUAAUUUUAUAAUGACUCAUUCGGCACCUUACGGGAAAC
rnacentral:rRNA from 1 species